GAUAAACGCUAGCGGCAGGCUUAACACAUGCAAGUCGAGGGGCAGCAUGGAUUGUAGCAAUACAAUUGGUGGCGACCGGCGCACGGGUGCGUAACGCGUAUGCAACCUACCCGUCACAGGGGGAUAAUCCGGAGAAAUCUGGUCUAAUACCCCAUAACAUAUGGAUCGGCAUCGGUUCAUGUUGAAAUUUUCGGAGGUGACGGAUGGGCAUGCGUAGCAUUAGCUUGUUGGUGAGGUAACGGCUCACCAAGGCGACGAUGCUUAGGGGGACUGAGAGGUUUUCCCCCCACACUGGUACUGAGACACGGACCAGUCUCCUACGGGAGGCAGCAGUGGGGAAUAUUGGUCAAUGGGCGCAAGCCUGAACCAGCCAUGCCGCGCGCAGGAUGACGGCUCUAUGAGUUGUAAACUGCUUUUGUACGAGGGUAAAGUGGGUUACGUGUAACCUUUUGAAAGUAUCGUACGAAUAAGGAUCGGCUAACUCCGUGCCAGCCGCCGCAGUAA
rnacentral:rRNA from 1 species